ensembl:lncRNA
AUUACAAGGACUUGCAAGUGGCUUGAUCUUUCUCAGCAUUUACAUAAUUUCCUGAACCUGGAAGCUGGGAUCUGGAUUGACACAGAAGUCUGGUUAAAAUAAGGAAAGGAGCCUGAAAUAUUGGAUGGAAGAAGGAGGUGUUCCAUGAAAAUCUUUAAGCCCUUCGAAAUGAAAUACAUUACAAAAAGAAGACAGAGCAUGGAUUCAGCCAAUGACAGUGUUUUCUUGACAGAAUGGAGACCUUGACAGAACCUUGACAGGAUGGAGAUGUGGGCUGACAGGAAUGUCAUGAAGUUCUACAGAGAGAGAUUUGCAAAGCCCUGAAGUUGGAGAGGAACAGCCCCAGGCACCAGCAUAUGCUGGAAGCACCCAGCUGGGAGCAUCUCUGCAGAAGACUUGAGGAUCCUGGUGAAUGCGAAGCUGAACAUGUGCCAGCACUGGUACAGGUUGCUCAGAGACUGUGUGUUCUCCUCCUUGGAGAUGUUCAGAAGCCGCUUGGCAACAGGCCUGGGCCCCCUGCUCUGGUUGUCCCUGCUUGAGCAGAUGUUGGGCCAUGUGGCCUGGAGGACCUGGCAACCUCAGUCAUUCUUAGAUAAUUUGAUUGUUAAGAUUCUGAAAAAAGACAAAUUUGUGCAGAGUGUUUGUCCUUAGUUGAUUAUUCAUUGUUUUUAUCAUCAAAGGGUUAAGAAUAAUACAUUUCUUUUCCUGUAUCAUUUGCACUUUAACUACAGAUGAGAGGUACUGAGCUUCUUCUUAAGCAUCUUCACA